ACACGAGCAAACCGUGCUCACGCAAGUGAGUCCUCGUGUCAUAGGUAGCAGCUAGUGUUCGUGUAGAGGAGGUCCACGGUAUACUAUGUAUAUAUCUGGACGCGAAACACUCGGAUGAGGCGAACGUAGAGACACGAAAAACGAUGGUCGGCUGAUCCCUUUGGGACAACUCGAAGAGGAGGAGGAGGAGGAGGAGGAGGAGUUUCCCUUCCUGGAACCAUGAUUAUCGGAGGUAACGAGAAGAUUCGGUGGAAAAACACGAUUCGGUCAACAGGUGGGCCACCUGGCAGGAUUCCAGGGAGAAGAUUUGAGAGAUUUGAAUAUGGGGAUAACACGAUUAGCAAAGGCAAUGUAGUGUAGGGCGUGAUCCUGCGCCACAGGGACACCGUAAUCUUGUAUUUUCACGAAUGAUUUAUUUCGAGUUAAACGAAUCUUAAAAAAACGAUUACGAUUCCUACUUAUGUUUUAUGUAUAAUUUAUGAAUUUAAUUUAUAAAUUAUUACCUUGAAUGUUAUCAACGAUCAAAAAUUUUAUAUUCGUUUGAAUGUCUGUGCAAAGAUUCAUUCUUAGAAAUAAAGUGAAUGCUAUAAAUAUCAAAUGCAUUUGGUUCCGCAUCAAGUAA